rnacentral:rRNA from 1 species
AUGCCCAAUUGGGCCUGGCCCGACGGAUGCAAAACGAGGCUCCCAGCCAGGCUGAGGGGAUACGCAAGUUUCGGCCGUUUCCGCGCGCCUGCAUCCGCGCCUGCACCCGCACCUGCGAACGUGGCUAGGGUCUCUCUUCCAAUCGGCUCACAACCUCUCAUUCACGCCGCUCUCCUCGCUCCUCUCCUCUCCCGUGCGACGCUGGAUCUCGCCGCCCCGUCGCCUUUGUGCACGUCGUCGGCGCGCCCCCUCGCUGCUGCGCAGAUGCAGAUGGGUGAGCGGACAGAGCGGCGGCCUCCUCCGGCCACGGAUGAGAAGGAAGACAAGGUGAGAAUUAGAGAUGUUCGUCGAGCUCUGUGUGUGGCUGGCCCCGAUGUUUUUCCUUCUCUCAACGCCCCAUCUGGAUUAGUCCACCAAACACACUUCUCUAUUCCUUCUUGCAUCAGCUCAACCAGGCUAGCCUCAACCAAGCUCCUUCAUGCAAUGCAGGCUAGAGCUCCCCAGGGAACCAAACACGCCCAUAGGCGUAUUGGUGUUCGGCCCAACAACCACUGCUGUUCCCCGACCCGCGGUAGCACUGAUUGGCCUGGACCGCCACUCUGGUACAGGGCUGUGUUUCGAAAUAGCACAGGUUGGCUCGGCAUCCCCUUUUCUUCCACAGAAGCUCAGCUCGGCGGCUGCUGUCUUCUUUCAGACACACGCAUAACAGCGGUAGUUCUCCAUGGGCGAUAUGUCGACAGAUGGACUCGUCCUCGACGGGAGGAGGGGAGCAAAGUUCGCUGGAUGGAAUUCGGCCAUGCUACCAGUGGAAUCCCAGGAUUCCAUGAGUGUUGCAGCUGUAGAGAUGGACAAGGGCGGCAAAGCACAGCAAGCUGUAGGUGGACAGAGAUACGAGCCGGAAGAUGUAAUUAUAGGUGGGUAAGGCUGGGUAAAUCACCUGAUGAGAGGGAGAUGAUCCCCGACAGGAAGACAUCACUUGAAUUGUCUGUCCGUGCUUACGCAGAGAAUGGGGAAGGCCAUGUUAUGAAUCCCAAGAUUGGCACAACAUUUGACUCUCUCAAUGAGGCCUAUUGA